rnacentral:rRNA from 1 species
AGGCAAUCUUCCACCAUGGCCGGCAGUCUGAUGGAGCAACGCCGCGUGAGUGAUGCAGGUUUUCGGUUCGUAAAACUCUGUUGUACGGGAAGAACCAGUACGUCAGGCAAUGGACGACCCUCGACGGUACCUUACUAGACAGCCACGGCUAACUACGUGCCAGCAGCCGCGGUAAUACGUAGGUGGCAAGCGUUGUCCGGAAUUAUUGGGCGUAAAGCGCGCGCAGGUGGUUUCUUAAGUCUGAUGUGAAAGCCCACGGCUUAACCGUGGAGGGUCAUUGGAAACUGGGAGACGUGAGUGCAGAAGAGGAAAGUGGAAUUCCAAGUGUAGCGGUGAAAUGCGUAGAGAUUUGGAGGAACACCAGUGGCGAAGGCGACUUUCUGGUCUGCAACUGACGCUGAGGCGCGAAAGCAUGGGGAGCAAACA